CCAGCAGCGCGGUAAUACGUAGGUGGCAGCGUUGUCCGGAAUUAUUGGGCGUAAAGGGCUCGCAGGCGGUUUCUUAAGUCUGAUGUGAAAGCCCCCGGCUCACCGGGGAGGGUCAUUGGAAACUGGGGAACUUGAGUGCAGAAGAGGAGAGUGGAAUUCCACGUGUAGCGGUGAAAUGCGUAGAGAUGUGGAGGAACACCAGUGGCGAAGGCGACUCUCUGGUCUGUAACUGACGCUGAGGAGCGAAAGCGUGGGGAGCGAACAGGAUUAGAUACCCUGGUAGUCCACGCCGUAAACGAUGAGUGCUAAGUGUUAGGGGGUUUCCGCCCCUUAGUGCUGCAGCUAACGCAUUAAGCACUCCGCCUGGGGAGUACGGUCGCAAGACUGAAACUCAAAGGAAUUGACGGGGGCCCGCACAAGCGGUGGAGCAUGUGGUUUAAUUUGAAGCAACGCGAAGAACCUUACCAGGUCUUGACAUCCUCUGACAAUCCUAGAGAUAGGACGUCCCCUUCGGGGGCAGAGUGACAGGUGGUGCAUGGUUGUCGUCAGCUCGUGUCGUGAGAUGUUGGGUUAAGUCCCGCAACGAGCGCAACCCUUGAUCUUAGUUGCCAGCAUUCAGUUGGGCACUCUAAGGUGACUGCCGGUGACAAACCGGAGGAAGGUGGGGAUGACGUCAAAUCAUCAUGCCCCUUAUGACCUGGGCUACACACGUGCUACAAUGGACAGAACAAAGGGCAGCGAAACCGCGAGGUUAAGCCAAUCCCACAAAUCUGUUCUCAGUUCGGAUCGCAGUCUGCAACUCGACUGCGUGAAGCUGGAAUCGCUAGUAAUCGCGGAUCAGCAUGCCGCGGUGAAUACGUUCCCGGGCCUUGUACACACCGCCCGUCACACCACGAGAGUUUGUAACACCCGAAGUCGGUGAGGUAACCUUUUAGGAGCCAGCCGCCGAAGGUGGGACAGAUGAUUCGGGUGAAGUUGAUACCAAAAGAACCCUUUCCCC
rnacentral:rRNA from 1 species